CCUACGGGUGGCAGCAGUGGGGAAUAUUGCGCAAUGGGCGAAAGCCUGACGCAGCGACGCCGCGUGAGGGAUGAAGGUCUUCGGAUCGUAAACCUCUGUCAGUAGGGAAGAACGGUCACUGUGCUAAUCAGUAGUGAAUUGACGGUAUCUGCAAAGGAAGCACCGGCUAACUCCGUGCCAGCAGCCGCGGUAAUACGGAGGGUGCGAGCGUUAAUCGGAGUUACUGGGCGUAAAGCGGUCGUAGGCGGUAUGUCAAGUCAAGGGUGAAAUCCCCUCGCUCAACGUGAGAACUGCCUUGGAUACUGGCAGACUGGAGUGUGGGAGAGGAUAGUGGAAUUCCAGGUGUAGGAGUGAAAUCCGUAGAUAUCUGGAGGAACAUCAGUGGCGAAGGCGACUAUCUGGCACAUAACUGACGCUGAGGAGCGAAAGCGUGGGUAGCAAACAGGAUUAGAUACCCCAGUAGUC
rnacentral:rRNA from 1 species